CCGAACGUUUCACAUCUGAAGGUAUUCGGUUGCAAAGCAUUCGUUUACGUACCACAGGAAAAGCGAAGCAAAUUUCAAGAUAAGGCUAAAGAAAUGACGUUCGUUGGCUAUUCUGAUAAUCACAAAGCGUACCGGUUUAUCGAAAUAGCUACUAACAAGGUGAUUAUUAGCAGAGAUGUUCGUUUCUUCGAGGAAGAGUUUGUUGAACCCGGUAAGGACAUUGAAAAUCUGAUAUAGGUGUUAUGUACAGUGCCAUCGAAUACUUUAUAUUGCACAUUAUAGAUUAAGAGUACAACAUAUUUGUGAAGGAAAUAAAAUAACUGGCAACUUGGCGAAGGAGAGUUGGUCAGUUUAGUUCUGAGUAUUGGCAUAGUUGAAAGUGUUUUUUAUAAUCGUCCCGAAAUACCAUUUUUUUAAAUAGUUUAAAUCCUCUAUAAGGAUACAUUCUACUGAACUACCUUGGUGUUCACUUUCUCCGAAGGCUCUCACCUUUUCCCAACGUUUAAUUCCCCGGCUAGGGAUACAACAAUUUGGCGACGAGGACAACCGGUAGCGUGCACCGGUCAUUGAAAUUAACGGGAUACAGUUCGUCGGAUUCCUUUUCAGCUGCUAGGCUAGCUUCGAAGGCUCCACAAAACGGCAGUGCAACCUGAACGACAGAUUUUCACUAAAUUUCGCGGAAGGAUAGAAACGAUUUUUUUUUCGCAGAACUUGGCGAACGGAUAUAAUUAUUAACAAAAAUUUCUGCAUUUUGGAAGGCCUGAGCGCUGACAAAGUUUCGGCGAGUUGGUAGGAAUAUUUACUGCGAUUCAAAUUGGAAGCGUUCCCGUCCUCGCACAUCGCACUCAGCUGAGGACCAAUAAAUACUCGAACUCAAUGGUUCGCCCGAAUGUGCUGAUCAAUGUCAGCAAUCAACAGGAGAAAAACACUUACAUGAAUUCGACACCAGCUGAGAGAGAUCUAGGAACAACACAAACGUACGAUGAGAGCAUGAACCCUAAUAGAAUUGAGGUGUCUGUAUUGGGCAAUUCCGCAGAUAACUGUUUAUCGAGUGACCAAGAAGAUUUUCGGGGUUUCCCGGAAGAAAGCAUGGAAAGGAGAACGCUAAGGAAAAGAAAAGCCGAUAAUACGGCUUUCGAGUGUCCACGUAGAUCAAAACGGAAUAGAAAAGCAAAACGUUUCGAAGAUUUUGUAUAGUUAUUAAAUGUAAAGGAAAUAUUUUCUUUCGAAUUAAGUAAAUACGGUUGAUUUUAUUUCAAUUGAUAAUUUUUUGAAUUUGUAUAUUUCCUUCUCAAGUGGGAAGGACUGUUAUGUACAGUGCCAUCGAAUACUUUAUAUUGCACAUUAUAGAUUAAGAGUACAACAUAUUUGUGAAGGAAAUAAAAUAACUGGCAACUUGGCGAAGGAGAGUUGGUCAGUUUAGUUCUGAGUAUUGGCAUAGUUGAAAGUGUUUUUUAUAAUCGUCCCGAAAUACCAUUUUUUUAAAUAGUUAAAAUCCUCUAUAAGGAUACAUUCUACUGAACUACCUUGGUGUUCACUUUCUCCGAAGGCUCUCACCUUUUCCCAACGUUUAAUUCCCCGGCUAGGGAUACAACAAUAGGAAUCAUAUGAAGACAUUCUGAAGCCACUAUCACGGAUUGCAGAACUAGACUAGAAUCAGACCCUGUCAGCUUGGAGCGAAAUCAAUCUUCAGUUCAACAAUGCCAUCGCACGGCAUCACAUUCAACAUAUCAUGUCAAUUGUAUAGGUGCGCAGCCCUGCUAUUUUGGCGCGCACGAAUUUGACAUUUCUCUCCCCUACUUCUAUGUAUGAGAUUCGAUGCGGACUCGUCUGAGGGCGGCAUGCUCGCUAAAAAGUAUGUUGCCAAUGAUUUGUUCGGGAAAUGUGAGAGCUGGAUAUCUUGUUAAUAUGAUGUCUUUGCUAGAAUGAAAACGUCGUUAAUAAUCCAGAUGGUACCACUAAUCAAAUAGAUGGUGGAAUGUCAUGUGCAACCGAUGCAGAGUUCAGUUCUUGCGAUGAAUCCUAUUAUGAAAAUUUGGAAGAAAGCGUUUUACAAAGAUCGGAAAGAUUAAACAAAGGAGUUGCCCCGUUCCGAUAACGCGAAACAAAUAAUAUGGUACUAGUGACAGAGCCCAAAACUUAUGAAGAAGCUGUAAACGGAUCCGAAUGCAUGUCGUGGAAAGCAGCCAUGGAGGAGGAGAUACAAUCUUCAUCAGAACUCAACCUGGAUCGUUGGAGUACUCCCAGAAGGACAAAAGACUAUAGGUUGCCAAUGGUUGUACAAAAAAAAACUAGAUGAACAUGGAAAUAUGAUACGUUAUAAAGCGAGAUUAGUCGCGCAAGGUUUUAGUCAGAUGUUUGGCACUGACUACGACCAAAGUAUUCGCUCCAGUUGCCAAACAGGUAACAUUUCGUACUUUGUUAACUGUUGCCACUCGACGUCAACUUCUCGUGAAACAUGUUGAUCAAGGAUGGCUUUUAUCGUAUCAUAGAACGUUCAAUCUUCACUCUUCACACGAUUGAAUCAGUGCCAUCAAAGAGGAAUGGAAAACAUCGCAACAACAAACACCCGGCAUGGCUUAUUUAACAUAGAAUAGACCCCAGUGCGAGAGUGAAUUUCUCUCGAUGACAUUUCUGAGAAUCAAAGGUUAGCACGCUGCUGUGGGGAUCUUCUCUGAAGCAACAAACGGUCGCUUAUUCUCGUUUCGCGAUCCGAUUCUGUAUGGGCAGUGGAUAAUUGCGAUAGAAUCAUUUUACUAUUGCCGCUUAUUCUAACUAUGUGCAUAUAACCUUUGUAUAAAUUGUGUCUAUGAAAAUGUAUGUGAAUGCUCCACACAAGCGUUUUGAAAUAUUGCAACCUAGUAUGAGAAACAUCAAGAUGAACCAUCGAUUCGAUUUUCUGCGAUAAUUGUCAACUUGCGAUUCUCUCUUGGGAAAUUCCACACAGCAACGAUCAUUAUCAGACUGUAUAUUUUUUCAUGGGCCGUGAAAUACUCAGAGUAUGAAGUGGAGCGAAGAAAUGUAGAAAAAUUCUCUCGCGGUUCAUGCAUUGAAUGACUCGAGUUUUUAUAGCAUCUUCUACCGGAUUUAAAAUGUUGUAUACAAUAUAGAUAGCAAUAUAGCAGCUUCUGUCAAAUUUUCGGCAAUCACCAACACUGAUGUUGAUAUCAAAACGGCUUAUCUGUAUGGAAUCCUAACAGAACCAGUAUACAUGAAACAACCGAAAGAGUACGAAACUGGAUCACCCGAUGAUGUCUGCCAUCUCAAGAAAAGCCUAUACAGUUUGAAACAGUCAGGACGAAUUUGGAACCAAAUGAUUGAUAAUUGUUUAAAAAAGCAAGAUUUUCUUCCGUCAAGUGCAGAUGCGUGUUUAUACGUACGUAACCGAAACAGCAAGCAAAUCUUUAUCCUUUUGUACGUGGACAAUAUGCUUAAUGUAUGUAAAAAAGAGCGAGAAUACAGCGAUAUAUUGCAAGCAUUUUCAAACAGUAUCUGGGUAUACAAGUUGUUCGGUCAAAAGACGGUCGAUUUUUGAUAAACCAACAAUGCUACAUCCAGCGGUUGGCUUCGCGAUUUGGCCUUGACAUAGCGAAACCAUCACACAUCCCGAUGGACCCCGGCUACCUACGGGCAAAGGAGGAGGAGACCAGCAAGCUACCAAGCAAUAAUUCGUUUUCUAGUUUGAUUGGUGGUUUGCUCUACAUAGCAAUCAGCGUUUCACUACUAGGAAGAAAAGUGAUUGAUCCUGAUGCAGUUGAUUGGAUAUCUUGUUACGACCAAACAUUUUCAGUUAAAUUUGGGAAACAAAAAACGUUGGUCUUGUAGCAUUUGUGGGUGCGGAUUGGGCAGGAAAUCAUCGAGAUCGAAAAUCUACACUCAAAUAAAAAUUCACGUUCGAUUCACUUGAAAAAUCACGUAAAUUGGUUUCAAAUGUGAAAUUGAAUAUUUUACGUGACGAAAAUGAAUGUUAUACGAACAUCCCCUAAAAUGAAUAGAGUCAUCACAUAAGGUUUACGUGAAUUGACCAAACGUCAAACAAUCUACGAGAAUUUCCAGUGUGAAAAACUCAAUUUUGAAAAUGGCGAACAGUGGCUCUCAAAUUUAUGAAAGUUUCCAUGUGUUUAACUGGACCAAGUGCCUACGUGAGUUCGGAAGUUUGCCGCUCCUUCCGAAUGCUUCAAACAUGUCGUUGGUCCACCGAAAAACGAGUUCAAAAUCGGUAUGAAGCUAGAGACACUGGAACCAUGUAUUGCGACUUCAACCUGCAUUGGUAGUGUUGUGGGAGUUCUCGUAUCUCGACUUCGGCUUCGGUUGGAUGGCAGUGACAACACGAUUUCUGAAGGCUUGCCGAUUCGAGAUCCCACGUUAUUAGUUGCUUUUUAUUUUCAGCCAUUAAA